CAUGGGAUGGGGUUCUGAGAAUGGGGAGAGACAGGAGAGAGAAGAGGGCAAGGAUGAUGUGGUUUUGGAGUAGAUAUGACAACAUUCACUUAGAUAAUGAUGGCAACUGAUAUAGUUUGAGAGUUUGCUGUGUUGUGGACAAUGAGAAAAAUUGGUAAGUGAUUCUAUAAAAAAUACCAAUUCUUUAAUUCGGCUUCUUGCAAAAGUUUCUAGUUUA
rnacentral:lncRNA from 1 species